rnacentral:lncRNA from 1 species
UCGUCCUCUAUCUCUAUCUCUAUCUGAGUUUCAAAAGAUGAUGCCUUGAACCUGUUCGAUGAAAUGAUAAAGAGACAACUCCUGCAAUCUGUUGUUCAGUUUACUGAGCUGUUGAAUGCUUUAUCCAAAAUGAACCAUUUUUCUUCUUGCAUCAAUCUUAUCAAACAGAUGUCUUUAUAUAUUCCACAAUGAUUAAAGGGUUUCUGAUAGGUUAGGUUUAGAAGGUGCUUGGGUCGUCAUCUUCUCUCGUCCACAGGCUAUUCUACGAUUUCUGAUCGAUUUGUUUACUUUUUUUCUGCAAUAAUCGGGUGUGAAAGCACUAAUUGAUGCUCAAUUAUUUGUUUCUGGUUAUAAAACACAAGUUAGGGUUUCGUGUUGUACUGUAGUUUCUGUAUUUGAAGGUGAAUUUGUGAUGAUCCUUUGUUUGAUUGGUUAUAUGAUAAACAUGAAUUUUGGUUGCGUUUUCUAUUGGAAUUUCUAUUUCUGAACAGAGAUUUGUUUAUUUAUUUUUGUAAUAAUCUUGUGUGAAAACAGUAAUUGAUGCUCAAUUGUUUGUUUCUGGUUUAAUAACACAAGCUAGGAUUACAUGUUAAGUGGUAACUGUAGUUUCUGUUUUUGAAGGUGAGUUGAACAUAAAUUUGCAAUGAUUCUUUGUUUUACCUGUUUAUAUUAGUUGAAAUGAAGCUCAAUUGCUUGUUUUUUUUAAUCAGAAAACUUAAAUUUAGGCUACAUGUUCUACUUGAAUUGAUGUUUCUGAACGUGAUUAUCAUAUGUUUCUUAUGUGUUCUACAGAAGUUUUGGGUUGCUGAAUGUUAGUUGGACGUGAUUAUGCUAUGAUUCUUCGUUUGCUUGUUUAUACGAAUUGAAAUGAAGCUCAAUUGUUUGUUUCUGUUCCGAAAACACAAAUUUAAGGUUACGUGUUUUACUAAAAUUCCUGUUUCUGAAUGUGAAUAGGGCGUGAUUAUGAUGUGAUUCUUUGUUUGUUUGUUUAUAUGAACUAAAAUGAAGCUCAACUGUUUGUUUCUGAUCGGAAUACACAAAUUUACGAUUACAUCUUCUAGUGAAAUUUCUGUUUCUAAUCGUGAUAGAUGUAAUUCUGAUUUAUGAUUCUUUGCCGGCUUGUUUAUACGAAUUGAAAUGAAGCUCAAUUGUUUGUUUGAACACACAUAUUUAAGGUUACGUGUUCAACUUAAAUUAUUGUUAACGAACGUGAAUCGAGCAUAAUGAUGAUCUGUUUCUUAUGUGUUCUACUGAACUUUCUGUUUCUGAACAUGAAUCGAAUGUGGUUUUUCUAUUUGGAAUCGUGUUAGGUCUAAUUCCUAUUACUUUGGCUGGAUUAUUUGUAACUGCAUAUGUACAAAUUUAGACCUGGCAAACAGGUCGGGUCGGGUCGGGUCAUGGGUCAAAAUGGGUUCGUGUCGAAACGGGUUCGGGUCAAAACGGGUUCGGGUCGGAACGGGUUUCGGGUCGGGUUGGGUAAAAAAUGUUUUUUUUAAGUGACUGUACAUCAAGGGGAAAUUUUGUCGGGUUUCGACACGAACCGUAUCGUUUCAGAUUUUCGAUUUGAACAGGUGAUUGACGGUUAACGUUGUGAUAAUUUUGAACAGAUUUGAUAGGUGUUUGAUGAGAUUUGUUUUGAUUUGAUGCACAAGUGAUAACAACUAUAACAGUUAACAGAAAACAAAAUCAGUUGAAGUGAUCAUAUUGUUCAGUGAUUUGUCAAACAGUUACUACAAAAGUUCUGUUUGAAUUAUGUUAAAAGAUUUGAGUUUCGGAUUGAUUCAGACGAAUUUUUGAUUGAUUUCGAACUGAUCCUGUUGAUUUAGUUCUGAUUACAGUUUGUUUCGGAUCAUUUCGAAGUUAUACAAAUUGUUUUUGUGAUUGAUUUUCGGUCAAGUUUCGAUUGCAGUUUAAAGUGUUGAUUGAAAAUUUUGGAUUAACCCGAUCAAUUUCAGUUGAUUUCUGAUAGAAUCAGUGUUUUUUAGUUUGAUUGUUCAAGAUCUGAGAUAUUCCAAAUCAUUCUCAUAAUUGAAAUUUGAUCAUUGUAGAACUGAUCUGUAUAGGAACCCGAAUCAGUCGAAAUUUAUGUUGAUUAUAGAGAUUUCAGAAUUGUUAUCGAUCAGAUUUGUUGAUUUAGUUCGUAGAAGUUGAUUGUGAAUCAGCUUUGUUGAAUUGAAAUAGAAAUCUGAGUUGCAGAAUUUGAAGUUAAACGUUCAGGUCGUGUAGUGUUUUGUUGCUGAAGGUAGAAAUCGAACAAUAUGAGCUGGGCUGGGAUGUGAAACUUAGUGUUAAUUAAUAAAACGAUACGGUUCGCGUCGAAACGGUACUGGUCGAAACGGUUCGCGUCGAAACGGUUCGCGUUGAAACGGUUCGCGUCGAAACGGUACGCGUCGAAACGGUACGCGUCGAAACCGUUCGCGUCGAAACGGUACGCGUCGAAACGGUACGUGUCGAAACGGUACGCGUCGAAACGGUACGGGUCGAAACGGUUCGGGUCGAAACGGUUCGGGUCGAAACGGUUCGCGUAAACGGUACGCGUUGAAACGGUACGGGUCGAAACGGUUCGCGUCGAAACGGUUCACGUCGAAACGGUUCGCUUUGACCCGAACCUGCCCCGUUUCUUUAAGACACUAACCCACAUUAACCCAUUUCUUUAAUGUUGUUGACCCGCUUUGACCCGAAAAUAACAAGAUGGAAUUUCAAGUGACCCAUUGUGACCCAUUUAGGUAAAAUAUCUUACCCAAACCAACCCAUAUAAUUUUAAAAGCAACCCAAACUGACCCAUUUGGAAGGUUUUGGGUCAAGAUUGCCUCCUCUAUGUACAAUACAGCGUGGCAAUCAGUUGGGCCUUUGAUUAAUUAACAUCUCUUUUUUAAUUGUCCUCCUCCUUUCUUUAAUAUCCAGGUGGUCAAAUUAAGAUAGCUGUUCUGAUUCUUUGUUUUCUUGUUUAUAUUAAUUUCUGUUUGUUAUUGAAUGGUCAACUGUGAUACAUUUCAUUGUUUGCUUGUUUAUAUAGCUCAGUUGUGUGUUUCUGAUCUGGAAACACAAAUUUAGGUUACGUGUUCUCUAAUUUUUUUUUGUUUAUUAACGUGAACCAAAUGCAAUUUUUAUCUGUUUCUUUGUUUGGUUGUUUAUACGAAUUGAUGUUGAAGAUGGAACUAUUUUGUUGCAGAAAAUGUUGAUAUUUUUGUACAUAUUUCGUAGAAAUUUAUAAAUAAUCAAUGCUUUAACAAUAAUUUUUCUUUCUACUAAAAGUGUGUUUAAAACUCUGUUAUAAAACUUUUGGAUUUCCCGUCAUCAGUGUGUUAAAAUUUGUUAAUAAUCAUAACACGAGAACCAAUUGUGAUUAUAGUAGCAUCUACAUCUGUGUGUAAUUUGUUAAAUCCAUAGAUUUAAUACAACUCGUGUAACACACGGGUACUUAGACUAGUUAAUCUAAUAAGAAGAUAAAUAAGAUGUCAUGUCUUUUUUUUCUUAAAUCUGCUAGAAAAUGUCUGGACAGGUCAUUUGCUGUCACAUCACUUCUAUGAUGUAAUAUGGGUAAAACGAUAAUAAAAUUAACGCUUAAUUAAUGGAUGGUUGCUAA